rnacentral:rRNA from 1 species
UACGUAGGGGGCAAGCGUUGUCCGGAUUUAUUGGGCGUAAAGAGCGUGUAGGCGGCCGCACAGGUCCGUUGUGAAAACUGGAGGCUUAACCUCCAGACGUCGAUGGAAACCGUGCGGCUAGAGUCCGGAAGAGGAGAAUGGAAUUCCUGGUGUAGCGGUGAAAUGCGCAGAUAUCAGGAAGAACACCAAUGGCGAAGGCAGCUCUCUGGGACGGUACUGACGCUGAGACGCGAAAGCGUGGGGAGCGAACAGG